rnacentral:rRNA from 1 species
GAUGAACACUAGCGGCAGGCCUAACACAUGCAAGUCGAGGGGUAGCAGGAUUAAGCUUGCUUAAUUGCUGACGACCGGCGCACGGGUGCAUAACGCGUAUGCAACCUACCUUAUACUGGGGUAUAGCCCGGAGAAAUUCGGAUUAAUCCCCCAUAGUACUAAUGAAUCGCAUGGUUUAUUAGUUAAAGCAUUGCGGUAUAAGAUGGGCAUGCGUCCUAUUAGCUAGAUGGUGAGGUAACGGCUCACCAUGGCUACGAUAGGUAGGGGGCCUGAGAGGGUGGUCCCCCACACUGGUACUGAGACACGGACCAGACUCCUACGGGAGGCAGCAGUGAGGAAUAUUGGUCAAUGGGCGCAAGCCUGAACCAGCCAUGCCGCGUGCAGGAAGAAUGCCCUAUGGGUUGUAAACUGCUUUUAUUUGGGAAUAAACCUCUUUACGUGUAGAGAGCUGAAGGUACCAAAUGAAUAAGCACCGGCUAACUCCGUGCCAGCAGCCGCCGCCG